CCGCACAGCUCCGCCAGUGAUUGCCUGGCUGGAGACUCAGAUACUCAAGUUUCCCUUGGCGUGCUCUCCUGGUGGGUAGGCUAGGCUAACCCCCAAACCCUGCGGUGCUCUCCGCGGGAAGAAGGGCGCUGAGGGCGCAGGUUGUCAGCUCAGAGCGUAAGGACGCGUGUAUGUAAGGAGGGGCAAGGCGAGCGGUACCAGCCCCAGGGUCCGGCUAGUCUACCUCGGUGUGCUCCUCUGCACCCCAGGACUGAGCUAGGCUGCUCCAGCAGGCGAGGAUCCCGGAGCCAAGGAGUUCCGAGAGCCCGGGGAUUAAGCGGCUACUUCAUGAACUCCAAAUCCCCAGGCACCCGCGCCCCGGUUUAUGAUGAUCGCUGAGCUAGCGCCCCCCCCCCCCGCUUCCACUUCCAGAUGCCAGCCUGUGGCUUGGGGCAGGAAGCAGCCGGGCGCUCCAGGAUUCUCGGGAUUGGGACUGUAGACAGAAGAAAGCCUGGCUGUUGUGGGAGACCCGCUGCUGAGCCCAGAGAGCUGCGACCGUGUUUCUGCCACGUAAAACAUAGGCAGACCUUGGAGCGCGGAGCCUGGUUGCAGCGGAGCACGGCCUCCUCACCCUGUCCUCACCCUGCGUAAAGGCGCGGGGCUGGGUAACCCCCCCCCACCCCCGACGCUGCAGGCUGUAUUGUUCCCCGAGAUUUGAAGCCCUCUCCUUUGGGGUUACAUGAACCCGGAGGAUGGGUGGUGGCGCGCCUUUCAGCUAGGGGGCAGGCGCCUACAGACACUGACCAGCCACGUAGAAACACAGGUGCUCCAGGAAUUCUGAAUCUGGGGUCGAGGGGCCCAUUUCUGUGCAUCCCGAGGGAGGAGGGACAAGACUGGCAAGAAUCGGGUAUUGGGGUGUCAGGAUGAUCUUGGCAAGUGUCUCCUAGCGUCAGCUUUAGAUUACAGACAAUUGUGUCCACCGGCCCUCCAGCCUCCGAGGAGGUGCCUCCUGGGCGUCUGCCGGGUGCUCCCCUCCCCCAUCUCGUCCGGUUCCCUCCUCGAGGGCUUUCCGAGAACUGCAGCAGGUGGCGUUUGGCGUAUGAAUAGCAAGGACAACCCAGGGACUUAAACUGGUUGUGGCCUCUGAUCAAGCACUUCACCGGGCUCAUUGCCCUCCGAAGGAGUCGGUGAAGAAGGUGAAAAGGUCAUAAGCCUUCUGGGAAGUGGCAUUUAUAGACUCACUGCCAUCACAGAGACUGACUCCUACCUGGUGCAAGAGCUGGCAAAGAUUUAGGAAUGCUGGCAAGGAGACUCUGGUCAAAGGUUUUGGCUGAAAAACUAGGGUCAGCCAGGGAGAAAGGACGCUGGGACACUGGUGCUCCAGGCCAGGACUCUGCGUUGGGUGUCUGGGCUGGGCGCUCGACUGAAGCUUGUGCGAGGCGCGGAGCUGCUGCUUAUGCUCCCGCGCCCGACUCAGCCUUCUUUCCGGCCCUGGUUACCCGGCCCCGCCUACAGCACAGAUCCGCCCCCCUCCCCGCCCCAUCGCACCUCCACCCCGGGCGCAGUUAGCCAGCCCCGUCCCGAAGCGCCUCCGUUAGUCGCCACUGGGCUUCCUCCUAGGCUGCCUGACCCGUUGGAAGCCCCCCGGUGGGUUGGGCGCGCCGGGAGUCUGGGAGUCAAAUGCCCCGGGUCGAGCGGAAGGGGCAGUCGCGGGGCGGUCGGCCCUCUGCAGGCAAGGUCUAGGCGUCAGCCGCGCCCAGGGCAGAGCCAGGGGAACGACAGAGGCGGGGGACAGCCCUGGCGCCCUGCCACAGCGAGCGCGUGUCCCCGCCUCCCCACGCCAGGCGCCGGGUGCAUCCCUGCCAAUUCCAACUGCGCCGAGUGGGAAAACUGAACUGAGGCACUUUGUGAGUUCAAAUGUGGCUGAGUUAUGAAGGAAUUCUGCAGUGAAAUUUAAUACAACAAAUGAGAUGUUUCAAAUUUGGGUCUAUGUCUUUUUUUGUUUGUUUGUUUGUUUGCUUAUUUUUUGUUUUGUUUUGUUUUGUUUUGUUUUUUUGAGACAGGGUUUCUUUGUAUUGCUUUGGAGCCUGUCCUGGAACUCGCUCUGUAGGUCAGGUUGGCUUCAAACUCAUAGAGAUCCACCUGCCUUUGCCUCCCGAGUGCUGGGAUUAAAGGCGUGCAACACCAAUGCCCUACUCAGUUUUCAUUUAAUCUUGCAAGGGAUUGUACCUUCCACCUGUGUGUGUGUGUGUGUGUGUGUGUGUGUGUGUGUGUGUGUGUGUGUGUGUUUCUGCACAUGAACACACUUGCACACACAUAUGGAGGUCCAAUAUUGAUAACAGAAUUCUUCUUCAGUCUAUCUCUCCUUUAUAUAUUGAUGUAGGGUCUCUCUCUCGAACCCAGAGCUUUCUGAUUAUUAGUCUACCUACCUAGCCAGUUUGCUUCAGGGAUCCCCUCUCUCUGUCUUCUACAUCCAGGGAUGAGAGAUGGGCUGCCACAUUGCUACAUUUACAUGAGUACUGAGGAUCUGAACUCUGAUCUUUUGCAAUUGAUGGCAAGCUCUUUCUCUGCUAAGUUCUCUCCGCAACCCCCAUUUAUGACUUGGAAGGUUCGGUAAGUAGGCUGAGGCAUGAACUAAUUACUAAUAAAGUAACCAGAUAUGCUUGUGAUGGCUCAUGGUGAUGUUUUGAUGGUAGCUGGAUGGUGGUGGCACACACUUUUAAUCACAGCAUUCAGGAGGCAGAGGCAGGCAUACCUCAGUGAGUUCAAGGCCAGCCUGGUCUACAGAGUGAUACCUUGAUGGCAUCUGAAACCAUCUAAGAGACUAGAUUCUAUACAUAUCUAUGAGGGACUUUCUGGAUUGAAUUACCUGGGAUGGGAAGAUCCACCCUAAGUGUGAGCAGCACUAUCCCAGAUUGGGAUCCUGAGUGCAAUAAAAAUGAGAAAGUGCACAGAGCAUUGGCAUUCAUUUCUCAUUGCCUCAUGCUCCUGUCAUGCUGCCUUCCCACCAUUCCUUCCCCAAUAUGGUAAACCAUAUCUGACAACUGUCAGCCCAAACACACUCUUCCUUUACUAAGUUGCUUCUUGUCACAUAUUUGACUACAGUAACAAGAAAAGUAACUAUAAUACUAAAAUUCGAUCCCUACUCAGAUUUACUCGACCCACCCAGAUGUUGGUAUGUAAAAGCCGGGUCUGACCUUACUGAUUUUCAAGAUGCUUUGGACUUUGGUUUGAGGAUGAUUGCUCUGGGUUUCAGAACAGUUAUCCAUGUAGGCAGACCGAUGCUGAUAGCUAUGUGUUGUGUUUGACAUUAGUCUUGAUCUUGUUGCGUAUGUAUCUUUUACUGUGUAGAUAGAAGACAGUAACUUUUAUGUCACAUUUAAGUGGAAGCAUCUUGAAAAUUCCAGGAUACAGAGUGAGCAGUAAUCAGGGUUUGUUGUUGCAUCUUAAAAUGCAACCUAGAAGGCUGGGGAGAUGACUCAGUGAGUAAUAUGCUUGCUGUGCAAGCAUGAGGACUGAAAUUUGAUCCUCAGAACCUACUGUGGUGGUUUGGAUGAGAAUGGACUCCAAAGGUACAUAUGUUUGAAUGCUUAGUCGCCAGGGAGUGGAACUGUCUGGGAAGGAUUAAGGGGUGUGGCCUUGUUGGAGAAAGUGUGUCACUGGGGGUGGGCUUUGAAGUUUCAAAGUCCAUACCAGGUCCAGUGUCUCUUUCUCUGCCUGCCGCUUAUGGAUUAAGAUGUAAAGUUUUCAGAUACUACUUCAGAACUAUGUCUGUCUGCUUCACACCAUGAUGGUCAUGGACCAACCCUCUGGAACUAUAAGCAAACCCCCAAUUAAAUGCUUUCUUUUAUAAGAGUUGCCUUGGUGUCUCUUCACAGCAAUAGAACAGUAACUACAACACCCAUAUUUUAAAAAGCCAGGCUUUGUGGCACAUGCUUAUAAUCCCAGGGCUAGAAAGGUAGAGACUGUCCAUGGGGCUUGCUGGCCAACCAGCCUAGACUAGGUGCUAAGUUCAAGGCCAAUGAGUAACUGUCUCAAAAUCAAGGUAGACAGCUCCUGAGGAAUAGCACAUGAGUUUGUUCUCUGCCGGCCACAUGCCACAUGCUUGCAUGUAUAUACACAUGUGCACACACACACAGUCACAAACAAGUACAAGCUAGAUUAGAUCAGAAAAGUGAAUUAACGGCUGUGACGAGGCAGCCAAGGCACAGGUCUGACUUCAUGCAGAGCUGGAACUGGAACCAAAGAUCACAUAGAUGUCAGUCAGUGGGAGGUCACCUGUAUUUCCAUCCAGCAGCUUGAUUUUUGGGUGGGCUCCAAGCAAGACAAAGGUGGAAAUAAUAGCCCAUGCUUCAGUGGACUUUUGAAGUUACAUCAGAGAGAAAAGUUUGGGGUCAGGAUAUUUUCUCCCCGCAGGUGUGAUUAUCCCAUAUCUUUUGCUUGACGUGUGGAUUGUGUAUAUAUUCCGUGGCCAGUCAAUUGCUCAAGAAAAGAAUUCCAGGCUGCCUACACUGGUGGUGGUCAUCAGCUACAAGGAAGACAUUGUGGAGAGAGGCCCUGAGAAAUGAAUCUUUGAAUUCUAUGACCAGAAGAAGAGGGGAAUAUGCUAGGCUAAGGAUAGGCAACAUGUUCACAAGGUCUUUUACUAAACAUGGAGCUCAUUGGUUUGCCUAGAUUGGCUAUCCAAAUAUCCCCGGAGGUCUGUCUGUUUCUACUUCCCCGUUACCAGAAUUACAGACAGGUCUGUGCCACUGGAUCUGGCUUUUUAUGUGGGCGCUCGGGUUGGGAACUCAGGUCCUCAUGUUUAUUCAACACUGAGUUACUUCCCCACAGCCAGCUCUCUCUCUCUCUCUCUCUCUCUCUCUCUCUCUCUCUCUCUCUCUCUCUGCUAUCCUUAGUUGUUUUCAAGCGAGAAAAUAGAAAAUGUUCUGAUUUUAGUUUUAAUAUGGUUGGUGUUUCUAUUCUGUGCUUAGUUUCCCUCCCUUCCUUCCUCUCUUUCUCUUUCUUUCUUUCUUUCUUUCUUUCUUUCUUUCUUUCUUUCUUUCUUUCUUUCUUUCUUUCUUGUUUUAUAAUAUAAAUAUCCAGUGGGGGCCAAAUAGCUUUAAUUUCAGAACCAGAAACUCAUGCUCCAUUGAGCUUCUAGUGAGCGUAUAAAGCAAAUGAAGGUGAUUUUUAACUCCAUCUCCUUUUUCAUUGUUGUGAUGGUUAACCAAUUUGACGAGAUUUGCAGUCACCUGUGAGUUUGACUGAGGGGGUAAGACCCACCUUGUGUUUGGGUGGCAUUAUCCCAUGGCCUGGAGUCCUGGACUGAAGGAAAAGAAGAAAGUGAGCUGAGCACCAGCGUCCAUCUCCUGUUUCCUGACUGCUGAUGCACUGUGACCAGCUGGCUCAUACUUUCCCCCCACCGUGUCAGACUGUACCCUGGGAUUGUGCAUCAAAGUAAACCCUUCUACCUUAUGUUGCUUUUGUGAAGUAUUUGGCCACAGUGAUUCAUCAGCAACUAAUGCAGCUGUGCCUCUAGGUUUUUUUUCCCUGUGUUUCCUCUGAUAACAGCCUUAAAAAAAAACUCCAGGCAGUGGUGGCCCCCUAGAACUCAGGAGGCAGAAGCAGUCGGAUCUCUGAAUUUGAGGCCAGCCUAGUCUACAGAGUGAGUUCCAGGACAGCCAGAGCUACACAGAGAAACCCCCACCCAGAAAAAAGCACAACAAACUACCACUGAAUGCUUGCACAUUUAACCCACUUUACAUGGUGCUGUGAAUCAUGUAGAAAAGGUUUUAAAGAUCCAGUGUCCAGGACUCUUGCAGAACUCAAGGCUGGAGUAGGCCUUUACCAGGUCUCAAUGAAGCCGAGCAAAGGUUUUCAGAGUGCUAUCUGGACUUGUUUUUCUCUGUUUCCAAGUGGCAAACAUGCUGCUCUUUCAAAAGCUUUGAAAAGUCAUCAGAAACGAAGCAACCCUCUCCACCCACCUACUGUAAGAUGCCUGGAGCCUACACGCAGCCUAAGCCUGAGCAUGUCUCCUGUUAUCCUCUAGAACAGUUGGCUAAAAAACCAAAGAUACAUACUUUUCCUGACUACUCGUAUGAAAAUAGACACUCUCUAAAAAGAAAUUUAAAUAAUAUAUAAUUUCUCAAAAUAACCACUAAUGGAUUUGGUAUAUUCUUUUUGAGUUAUUCUUAAAUGGAUAUACAUACAUACAUUUUUAUUCCCAAAUGUAGUCCUAUAUAUCACUCUGUGGCUUCUCAGAUGCGAUGGUCCAAUUUAGACAUCUUUCCAUGUUGACACACAGAGAUAUAUCAUCUUGCUGUUUG
rnacentral:lncRNA from 1 species